ensembl:lncRNA
AAAGGCUUGUUUAUUCUACAUGGAGCUGUUACUACAAUUGAAAGUUAUCAAAACACUUAGUUUAGAAUAUCUACAUAAAUUCAACAAUUGCAUUCUUCUCAUAUUACUCUGUAGACUACUGACCUAGUCAAAGCUUCCUCUGGCAUCUCACCAUACAUCUGCCUGUAGUUAUUGAACUGAAUCUACAGGAGGUUUGUUUGUUGUGAAUGAGUGGGGAGGAAACAGCUGCAGGCAAGGUUCUGACAGAUGGGUGUGUCUUGGUGGUGGCAAGGACGUCAAACCACACCCCCAAGCCAACUCACGUUUGGCUUCUGUCAUAGCCACCAGUAUUUCUUCCAGCUGCUUCGUUAGUUUAUUAUCUAGCUGCAUUGUAUCCAGAUCUCCAGGGCCGGCAGUAGCCUUUUGGGGGCCCCACUACCUCACUGCAAAAUAUUUUAGUGCCCCCCCCUCCUGACGUUGGAGAGAAAAAAACAUCUGUUUUAAAGUUUAUUUCCUGCAAUUCUGUGAACUGUCUUGUGCAAGUUUGAAAUUUCCAUAAUACCUGUUAUGUACCUGGUGUCAGCUAGAGAUGACGUGCAGGAACAUGUAUUUGUAGUUUUUCACGAUCUCUACUUUGAUGCUAAUUAGUGUUUUCAAAUCUGAGAGUAAAUAGAGCCAAAUAUAUUGAUAAAAGUAAUCUUGUCCAAGAGAGAUUUACAGGUUAAUAAAAUGUCACGCCAGGGUAAGCCUACAUGAAACACAGACCUUAUUUUAAGUGUUUCUAACUAUCCCCAAUGGGAAGAAUGAAUGGUGGAAAAUAGACUGGAACCAUUUCUCUGUUUCACCGCUAGGUUGUAUGGGUAUUAUCACACCUCCAAUGUGGGGCUCUAUACACAGCAUAUACAGUUGAAGUCAUAAGUUUACAUACACUCAGGUUGGAGUCAAUAAAAAUUAUUUUUCAACCACUCCACAAAUUUCUUCUUAACAAACUAUAGUUUUGGUAAGUCGGUUAGGACAUCUACUUUGUGCAUGACAAGUAAUUUGUCCUAUUGUUUCCAAACAGAUUAUUUCACUUAUAAUUCACUGUAUCACAAUUCCAGUGGAUCAGAAGUUUACAUACACUAAGUUGACUGUGCCUUUAAACAGCUUGGAAAAUUCCAGAAAAUGAUGUCAUGGCUUUAAAAGCUUCUGAUAGGCAUCAGAGUGUGGAGUGUCCACCACAAAGCCCUGAUCUGGAGUGGAGUGCCAAUCACAAAGCCCUGACCUGGAGUGUCCAUCACAAAGCCCUGACCUGGAGUGGAGUGUCCAUCACAAAGCCCUGACCUGGAGUGGAGUGUCCAUCACAAAGCCUUGACCUGGAGUGGAGUGUCCAUCACAAAGCCCUGAUCUGGAGUGGAGUGUCCAUCACAAAGCCUUGACCUGGAGUGGAGUGUCCAUCACAAAGCCUUGACCUGGAGUGUCCAUCACAAAGCCCUGACCUGGAGUCGAGUGUCCAUCACAAAGCCCUGACCUGGAGUGGAGUGUCCAUCACAAAGCCCUGACCUGGAGUGGAGUGUCCAUCACAAAGCCCUGACCUCAAUCCUAUAGAACAUUUGUGGGCAGAGCUGAAAGUGUACAAGCAAGGAGGCCUUGCAAACUUGACUCGGUUACACCAGCUCUGUCAGGAGGAAUGGGCCAAAAUUCACCCAAUUUAUUGUGGGAAGCUUGUGGAAGGCUAACCAAAAUGUUUGACCCAAGUUAAACAAUUUAAAGGCAAUGCUACCAAAUACUAAUUGAGUGUAUGUAAACUUCUGACCCACAUUCUCUCUACUAUUAUUCUGACAUUUCAUGUUCUUAAAAUAAAGUGAUUUUUACUAGGAUUAAAUGUCAGGAAUUGUGAAAAACUAAGUUUAGAUGUAUUUGGCUAAGGUGUAUGUAAACUUAGUUUUAGUAACGUACUGAGCUGAUGGAGGAAUUUAGUAACGUACUGGAGGAUGAAAGACGACACCUGGGCUGUUUUAUGCGACAUAUUUAAAUGAUUGACAUGAAAGAGGAGAGGGACACAAAUCAGAUGAAGGCUGCUGGGAAAAACUUCAAAGCGAAAGCCAAAAAUAAUGCAGCAGAUGAGAGGCGGAAGAUAUUUCAGACCACAGUCUCUCUCUCAGGACAUAUGUGAUGAUACCCGAACAGUUAACCCUAUGAUGACAACGGACAACUAGUCCCACCAAUAUUUAGUAAGCAUAAAUAACUGGUUAACAUCAAUGACUACAAUGCAUGUCAAAACUACCCAGUGGUGUAAAGUACUUAAGUUAAAAUAUAUUAAAGUACUACUUAAGUCAGUUUUUUGGGUAUCUGUACUUUACUAUUUAUAUAUUGGACAACUUUUAUUUUUACUUCACUACAUUCCUAAAGAAAAGACUUAAACAACAUUUUACUCCAUACAUUUUCUUGAAUACUUAGCAGGACAGGAACCUGGUCCAAUUCGGGCACUUAUCGAGAGAACAUCCCCUGGUCAUCCCCACUGCAUCUGAUCUGGCAGACUCACUAAACACAAAUGUUUCAUUUGUAAAUGAUGUCUGAGUGUUGGAGUGUGACACUGGCAAACUGUCAAUGUAUGUAUGUAAUAAAACCGUGCCAUCUGGAUUUCUUAAUGUAAGGAACAUUAAAUAAUUCAUACUUUUACUUUUGAUACUUAAGAACAUUUAAAACCAAAUACUUUUGACUUUUUACUCAAGUAGUAUUUUACUGGCUGACUUUUACUGGAGUUAUUUUCUAUUAAGAUAUCAUUACUUUUACAACAGUGUGAAAUGACUUUUUCCACCACUGAAACUAACGCUAAUAGUAUUUCACUAGAAUGUUACUGUUCUCAGUCCCGUUACAGCAUGUUGCAUAACGUCAUCAUUCUACCAAGGUGUAUCACAAGCUCUAAUUCAAUUACAAAAUGGGAAGGUAAGUUCUAAUAAGGAGUUGAUUCUCUUCAGUUGAGCCGACACCCUGUUGUCGUAGAGAAACAGCAAUGCCUGGAUCUUGAACUAGCCGGGCCAAUCGAACGCCCCCAGAACCCAAGACUAAAACAGCUCAUAUUGAUGUUUUGGCGCAGGAGGGAGAGAAAAAUAUUCCGCAGACUGAGAUUCUGAGUUUACAAAAAAGAGCUACUGCGAAUUCAGAAACAGAAACGCCUUCAGGGGAACAAAUGUGGAAAGAAUGCUAAUCUUGUUAUUUAUUAAAACAAUGCUUUCCCUAGCAAUGUGGUGCCCCCACUCAUGUUCUGGUGCUUCCAGUUCCCCCCUUUAUGAUCGAGAAUAACAAAUGACUUAAUAAUGCAUUUUAAUACAGAUAGUCUUAUUAAGAAUUGCACGUCAGUCAAAAUAUAAUAUUGCUUUUUACAUGUUACACUAUACACACACAUGUUAGGCUGCAAAAAUGGUUCUCAAUCAAAGUUCUCCUCAUCGCAUUCACAUCAACAGCAUGUUGCACCUGGCCAUCUUCUCCAUUCUCCUCAUCCUCCUCAGGUAGGUCCUCCUCAGCCUCCUCAGGUAGCUUGUCUCCUUGUCUCUUGCUAAAGUUAUACAGAACUUCCACUGCAAUAGUGAUUGUCAGUGUAGUGUCCAUCUUCAUGCAGAGCACCACCUGUAGGGGAGGGAAUCUUUUCUUCCAUACUACAAAAACUCUAUGAGAUCUCUUGUCAGGAUAUGAGAGGUGGUGUGUUCUCUCUCUAUGAGAUCUCUUGUCAGGAUAUGAGAGGUGGUGCAUUCUCUCUCUAUGAGAUCUCUUGUCAGGAUAUGAGGUGGUGGAUUGUCUCUCUUCAGGUGUCUGGGGGUUUAAAAGGGGAGUCAUAAGGUUCCCAUGACAAGAAUAUCCAUUGUUACGUAGUAGGGGGCCUUCAUAUGCUCCCCGUUCCAGCAUUGCACACAGACGACUAUUGUCAAAGUAUCUGCUGUCAUGGGUGGAUCCUGGCCGUCUUGCUAGGAUGUUGGUGAGCUGACCUUUGACAUCACAGACAGCCUGCAUGUUGACGGAGCAGUAACCUUUCUGAUUACAGAAUAGUUCUCCAUUCCCACCACCAGGGUUCGGAAUAGGAAUGUGUGUCCAGUCUAUUGCCCAUAGUACACACGGGAAUCUAGCUUUCAUCUCAAAAUCCAGCUGCUGUUUCCUCUGUAGGACUGAACCUGAUGUACUCGUUCUUCAGGCCGGCAAAAGCACUGGACACUACAAUCCUGUAGACGGUUGACUUGUGGAGUCCAGAAAGGUCCACAUCCAUCCACCAUCUGGAAACAUCCAGUUACAUAGAACCGUAGAGUCAUCAGGAGCUGAAGUAGUAGGGGUACAUCCUCGUUACCGUCGUUCCCACGCUUGGUCCAACCUUUCUUUCCAGUUGCAUUACAGAUUCCUUGGAGAAGCGGCAUCUCCUUGAAAACUCAUCAUUAUAAAAAAAACUCAACAGGAUACAACCUGUCUCGUAAUGUUCUCUGAGGAACUCUGUCGUUCUGGUCUCUCCACAGUCGAUAUCCUGUCAUUUUAUCAGUUCAACCACAUCAAAUGGCAGUUCAGAAUCUCCAAUCUAAGUUUAUAUUCAAGCUUAAAAUGACUCUAGGUUUAAAGUGAAAACUAAAACUUAUGAUUAGAAGAAGGAUUCAUUUUAACUAGGAUUCAUUUAAAAAUAGAUUUAAAGUUUGGUGCAACAAGAUGAAGAUGAAACUGGGUUAAAUGAAGGCUUAAGAGUUCCUCCAUGUUGGUGCAACCCACCCUGUAUAUUGGGUUUUCCUAGAUUUAGGCAGAUCCCUGUAUUUGGCAUGACAAUGAGAGGUAGUUGCAUGACGGCACCAACAAACUGGCCCUCAGGUCAGCUGUAUUAGAGGUGAUAUCACUCAGGUCAGCUGUAUUAGAGGUGAUAUCACUCAGGUCAGCUGUAUUAGAGGUGAUAUCACUCAGGUCAGCUGUAUUAGAGGUGAUAUCACUCAGGUUAGCUGUAUUAGAGGUGAUAUCACUCAGGUUAGCUGUAUUAGAAGUGAUAUCACUCAGGUUAGCUGUAUUAGAGGUGAUAUCACUCAGGUUAGCUGUAUUAGAGGUGAUAUCACUCAGGUUAGCUGUAUUAGAAGUGAUAUCACUCAGGUUAGCUGUAUUAGAGGUGAUAUCACUCAGGUUAGCUGUAUUAGAGGUGAUAUCACCCAGGUUAGCUGUAUUAGAGGUGAUAUCACUCAGGUUAGCUGUAUUAGAGGUGAUAUCACUCAGGUCAGCUGUAUUAGAGGUGAUAUCACUCAGGUCAGCUGUAUUAGAGUUGCCCAUCAAUUGCAUUAAUGCCAUCAAUACACCUCCUGUAAGCAAUUCAGGCCAUCUAUAGACCAUAACUGUAGAUUGACCAUAGGCAAGGGAGUGUCUCUCGAUCUUUGUCCAGGACAGAGUGUGUUAACCUGAAUGUCUGACAUUAAAACAUCUGGAAUGUACACACUUUAUGAUCAGUCGUGUUUGACAACGACAGACUUUGGGGUGGAAUCUGGCCAAAGCGAGAGUUUGGUAAAACAGGUCACCAAGCUUUCAGUUAAUGGAUCAACAUACUUGGCAACAGAAAGUUAAAAUUAUGAACAGGUCUAUGUCCCCAAUGGAACCCUAUUCCCUUUGUAGUGCACUACUUUAGACCAGGACCCAAUGGAAGCCUAUUCCCUUUGUAGUGCACUACUUUAGACCAGGACCAAUUUGGGACACAGGCCAGGUCUUGGCAGACUAACGACUUGGUUGGCCCCCUUUGGUCUGGCUCAACAACAGAAUACAGACAGUAACAAAUAUCUAAGUCGUGUGGUCACAAUGAAGGCCCAAAAGACCUGGGUAAAAGCUGUUCAGCCGUUUAGUCAAACCCUUCUUCCUAUUGUGAUGGUAAUGUGUUUAUAAUGAUAGUUAAGAAGUUUAGUCAGAGAGAGGGGGGAUACAGAGAGCUUCUGCAGGUAAGUCCUUCACAUCAUCAUACAUUAAAGUCUUUAAAUAGUUCAUGUGGUGUCAACACUUAACAGAAUAGAAAACAAAUAACUAACAACCAAUAAGAGUCUUGCAAUGAAUCUGCCCUCUGUUCCGACCUGUCUCCAUGGCAACACCCUGGUCAGUUAUAGUAGGUCCAAUUGUCCAUCUCCUGGCCACCCCUGGGCUGGGCUCCACACUGCAGCCCCCUCUCCUCUGGUCUCUAGCCCCAGUCCUCUCCUCCUGUCUCCAGCUCCUCUUCUGCUAGCUCCGGCCCUUCUCCUCUCCUCCUGUCUCCAGCCCCUCUCCUCUCCUCCUGUCUCCAGCCACUCUCCUCUCCUCCUGUCUCCAGCCCCUCUCCUCUCCUCCUGUCUCCAGCCCUCUCCUCUCCUCCUGUCUCCAGCCACUCUCCUCUCCUCCUGUCUCCAGCCACUCUCCUCUCCUCCUGUCUCCAGCCACUCUCCUCUCCUCCUGUCUCCAGCCCCUCUCCUCUCCUCCUGUCUCCAGCCCCUCUCCUCUCCUCCUGUCUCCAGCCCCUCUCCUCUCCUCCUGUCUCCAGCCCCUCUCCUCUC